AGGAGCAAUUGGAUAAGAAGAUGAAUAGGAUAAGCCCGCACCAGUGACACUGUAUCUGAAAAACUGGUGUGAUUCCAUGCUACGAGCGUAGCAUCUGUUGUUCCACUACUGAUUCAGAAAGAGAUUGGCUGCUCGUUCUGCCCAAUCUUCCGAACAGCUACCAGUAGAUUUAGAAUCCUUUAUGCAGACCUCAAACUUCUGUUUGAAAGCAAUAGCAGCCUGAAACUUUCUGCGAAAGAGAAGAAGAAACAAAAUUUUCUAGUCUUUGAUUGAAGACUGCGACCUAUUCGGCCUUUAAAUUUUCUUUAAAAAAAAAAAAUUCUAGCGGUGGGAUUUUUUAAGUUGGAUGCAGAGUUUCUAAAAAACAAUAAACCAAGUUUCAA
rnacentral:misc_RNA from 1 species